rnacentral:rRNA from 1 species
GGGAGGCAGCAGUGGGGAUAUUGGACAAUGGGCGAAGCCUGAUCCAGCCAUGCCGCGUGUGUGAAGAAGGUCUUCGGAUUGUAAAGCACUUUAAGUUGGGAGGAAGGGCAGUAAGUUAUACCUUGCUGUUUGACGUACCGACAGAAUAAGCACCGGCUCUCUGUGCCAGCAGCCGCGGUA